rnacentral:rRNA from 1 species
CACGGAGUUAGCCGGUGCUUCUUCUGCGGGUAACGUCAAUCGACGCGGUUAUUAACCGCAUCGCCUUCCUCCCCGCUGAAAGUACUUUACAACCCGAAGGCCUUCUUCAUACACGCGGCAUGGCUGCAUCAGGCUUGCGCCCAUUGUGCAAUAUUCCCCACUGCUGCCUCCCGUAGG